AGGACGAACGCUGGCGGCGUGCUUAACACAUGCAAGUCGAGCGGUAAGGCCUUUCGGGGUACACGAGCGGCGAACGGGUGAGUAACACGUGGGUGAUCUGCCCUGCACUUCGGGAUAAGCCUGGGAAACUGGGCCUAAUACCGGAUAUGACCUCAGGUUGCAUGACUUGGGGUGGAAAGAUUUAUCGGUGCAGGAUGGGCCCGCGGCCUAUCAGCUUGUUGGUGGGGUAAUGGCCUACCAAGGCGACGACGGGUAGCCGACCUGAGAGGGUGACCGGCCACACUGGGACUGAGACACGGCCCAGACUCCUACGGGAGGCAGCAGUGGGGAAUAUGCACAAUGGGCGAAAGCCUGAUGCAGCGACGCCGCGUGAGGAUGACGGCCUUCGGGUUGUAAACCUCUUUCAGCGAGGACGAAGCGCAAGUGACGUACCUGCAGAAGAAGCAACCGGCUAACUACGUGCCAGCAGCCGAC
rnacentral:rRNA from 1 species